AUUGAACGCUGGCGGCAGGCCUAACACAUGCAAGUCGAACGAGUGGCGGACGGGUGAGUAAUGUCUGGGAAACUGCCUGAUGGAGGGGGAUAACUACUGGAAAGGGUAGCUAAUACCGCAUACCCUCAGAUGUGCCCAGAUGGGGUUAGCUUGUUGGUGGGGUAAAGGCUCACACAGGCGACGAUCCAUAGCGGGUCUGAGAGGAUGACCAGCCAGACUGGAACUGAGACACGGUCCAGACUCCUACGGGAGGCAGCAGUGGGGAAUAUGGCACAAUGGGCGCAAGCAUGAUGCAGCCAUGCCGCGUGUAUGAAGAAGGCCGUCGGGUUGUAAAGUACUUGUAGCGGGGAGGCGUUACCCGCAGAAGAAGCACCGGCUAACUCCGUGCCAGCCGCCGCGGUAAUUC
rnacentral:rRNA from 1 species